rnacentral:rRNA from 1 species
UACGUAGGGAGCAAGCGUUGUCCGGAAUCAUUGGGCGUAAAGCGCGCGUAGGUGGCCCUGUAAGUCCGUUGUGAAAGUCAAAGGCUCAACCUUUGAAAGCCGAUGGAUACUGCAGGGCUAGAGUCCGGAAGAGGCGAGUGGAAUUCCUGGUGUAGCGGUGGAAUGCGCAGAUAUCAGGAGGAACACCAAUAGCGAAGGCAGCUCGCUGGGACGGUACUGACACUAAGGCGCGAAAGCGUGGGGAGCGAACAGG